UGACCAGCAGCUGCCCAAGCGCUGUGCUGGUUACUUGCAUGCAGCCUUUGAUUUCCCUCUCCACAGCUUGAGGAGGUAGGCAUGAUCUCCCUGUGCCCCUGAGAGGAGAGACUGAGUCUCCCUGAGGUCAGGUAAUGAGGCUUGUCACUGUGGAACUUCUGGAAGACACGACUUCCUGACACCAGGGCCUCCUGCAGUGCAGAGUAAUUGGGGACCAAGACACUCUGGAAGAAAGGAGGAGACAGGAAGGAGGAGCACAGGAGGCAGGGCAGAAGGUCCUGCCAUUGUCAGGAGGUCACAGAUAGCUGCAUUAAGGCUUAUGACAGAAGAGUGGCUUGCCCAUGGUGGCGUUGGCACAGCCAGGGACAGAAAUCCAAGUUACUGCAUCCCAGCCUGGCUCCUCCCAGCUGCCCCAGAGAACUCCGUCUUCCUGCCUGAUUAUUGGAUUCCAACAGCUCUGUUUUAGAGAAUAAUUCUAUUGUCCUCAUUACGCAUCUCAGUAUUCUAAACCACCUUACAUCUGCUUUGGAGGCAGGCAGAGGAAACAUCAUAAACCCAUAUGUACAAUCACUAUGCUCCCUCUGGUCAUUCAGCUCUGGUGUGUGCUCCCUUGUGUGUGGAAAUAAAGGAGGAUGACUUGGAGCCUGGAUCUUGACAAGGUCACAAUCAGUGUGAGGUUAAGGGCAGAGGCUGGUAGGCCCUGUGUAUCCUCAGAAGGGUGAUGGGCUGGCAUGCCCUCUUGUGUUCUAUUGGUAUUGGACUCGAGGUAGUGA